rnacentral:snRNA from 1 species
CGGGCGGUAAAUUCCGUC